GCGAAAAAAAAAAGCACGCAAAGACCCCGGCACCCGCCCCCCCAGUUCCAAUCUCGCCGCCGGCGCACCGCCAGGAGCAGCCUGUCCUCCCUCCGGUUGACUUUUUGUUCGCGGCUUCGCUCGCUGAGCCCCUGGGGCCGCCUCGAUCCGGACUCGCCCGCGUUUGAGUCGGGGAACGAACGUCUCCCUCCGUCUCCGUCGCCCCUUGCUAACACCAGGUGGCGCUGGAAUUGGAGUAUUCCUAUGGAGACGAUCUCAUCCUGUCCCAUCUGCAAUAUACAAGUUCUUACUGUUGAGCUGGAAUGGCAUGCCAAUAGCCAUUUUGAUGAUGAUCAACUCCAAAGGGACAUGGAAUUAGCACAUCAGAUGGCACUUGCUGAAUCAAGUACAGAUACCAUGAAUGACCCAAAACGUUAUAGUGGAUCAUUCACUAGUGACUCUAAUACUCUAGGGGCCUCAUCAAGUCAUAGUGGAUACUCGCGCCAUCACAGUGAGCUAUUGGAUGAACAAAUCUCUUGCUUGGUCAGAGCACAAAUUCGAAGCGAAGUUCAAGAAGUCGAAGGCGGUAUUAUGAGCUUGUUGAAGAGCUGCUUGGAGUCAGAAGAUGGUUCCUCGACAUGUAUGAUAUCAUGCUAUAUAGACCAUCAUCAGAGUCUUUCAUCAGAAGAUAAGGGGUGGGGAUGUGGAUGGAGAAAUAUUCAGAUGCUGAGCUCUCAUCUAUUGAAGCAAAGACCAGAAGCUAGAGAAGUAUUAUUUGGUGGUUCUGGAUUUGUUCCUGACAUCCCUUCACUCCAGAGGUGGCUUGAGAUUGCUUGGGAUAAAAAUUUUGAUAAGAUUGGCUCCAGCCACUUUCAUAACGAAGUUUAUGGUGCCAAGAAGUGGAUAGGGGCUGCAGAAUGUGCUACCCUCUUCCGCUCGUUUGGCCUCCGUGCAAGGGUUGUAGAUUUUGAUAGCACAGAAUCAUCUGACCUCCAAAGUAAGAACGGAAGCCGUGCAGCGAGUCAAGUACGAGGACCUAUGGACAAGUUCUUAACAAAGAAUGACUCUCCUAAAUCAUCAUCUGAACUUUGUCGAGAGGAUGCUGAAAGUAUGAGAGGCCAACAGGCCCUUGUUGACUGGGUUUGGAACUACUUUGCAAGUGGGCGCUCUGAUAGAUUAGCCACACAGCGUGUCACUGUCAGCAAUAAAACCCCACUGUAUUUUCAACAUCAAGGUCAUUCAAGGACAAUAGUUGGGAUUCAAAAGAAAAUGGCUCAUCGUGGAUUUCAUGAACAAUACUCCCUUUUGAUUUUGGAUCCUGGCCAUAGAACUGCAGAGCUAGAAAGGUCUCUAAGAAGCAAAAAAGGAUGGCAGCGUUUGGUGAAGAGAGGUGUCCACACACUCAGGAAGCCACAGUAUCAGUUGUGUUAUGUGGAUCCUGGAAUUGCUACUUCAGAAGAGAUGGAGCAACUGAAGAUUAUUGCUGGUAUACUAGUCAGAUUUUAAGUUCUUGAAAACAGGAUGAAGAUUAUAUUGUUUUGCAGACAGGGCACUCUUCCCUGGUUGAAGAAACAAGAACAUCUAAUCCAUUGUCAAACUGUGCGCUGUACAAAUGGUCCCGCAGAAAAACUGAAUUUGCUGUUGUUUGGAGGACCUUGGAAGAAUCAUGACUGCUUUCCUAACUGAACCUGCCAGUUGAUGAUGGUUGCAUCUGAAUCUGAGGUGUAGGUAAACGAAACAGAAGUUGACGUUGCUGUUAUGUGGCCAACUUACAGGAGCCCAGUACGCUGUCUUAAGUGUUAAAGUGGAGGAGAAUCAAGUAUUUGUGCAUAUAACAUAAUGGCUACGGCUAAUUUUUUUUUUGUUAUGCAUCUGAUGCCGCACACUCAGCUCAGUUGACUAAAUAUUGACUCAAGGAUUGUAUUCUUCAUGGAGUUGGAAUCUGGAAAUGGUAUGAUCGGGUUCGUGAAGCAAGCAGAUUUCUGUGAAAGUUGUCAGCUCAUCGGAUAUGAUAUGACGUCAUCGAAUUUUGUAGGUUAUGUAUUCCUAAAACAUUGAAGAAUUUUGGAUAUUAUUCCUUGAUAAACUGCGGUCCAUUUGGAUUGGACGAAACUUAAGGUGGUUUGGGGGGCGGCUAUCUGUUGUGUCAUGCGUCAGACAUCAAAGUGUUUGUGUUUGAAUGCUACGUGUAGCUGUUGCCUGUAAUUGCAGUCUCUUUGCUUGUUGGGUGUUGAACCAUUCCAAGAAUUAUGAAAUAAGUACAUAUUUACCAUCA